rnacentral:rRNA from 1 species
CGUAAUAAUAGAAACUAACCAGGAUUCCCUUAGUAACGGCGAGUGAACUGGGAUACCAACAAAAUACAUGUGCCUCGCGCGCAUGAUUUAGCCCGUCGAUACUAUCCUAGCAUAUUACCGGUCUCGGCCGGUAACCCAAUAUGCGGGAAUUGUAGCAUCGUAAUAAAAAUAAAAUAUAUACACGCACACACACCCACCGCGUACAUUCUUGUAAACACACAGCGUCUCCGCGUUGGAAAGCAAGUUUAUAUCCUCUUUGGAUAUGCCAUAGAGUGUGACAGCCACGUUUCACUCAUAUAACCGUACGCACACACACACGCCCCGUGCACUAAUAUAUAUUUCUAUAACCUGAGUCGAGUUAUUU